rnacentral:rRNA from 1 species
AACGAACGCUGGCGGAAUGCUUUACACAUGCAAGUCGAGCGGCAGCGCGGGGGCAACCCUGGCGGCGAGCGGCGAACGGGUGAGUAAUACAUCGGAACGUGUCCUUAAGUGGGGGAUAGCUCGGCGAAAGCCGGAUUAAUACCGCAUAAGCUCUGAGGAGGAAAGCGGGGGCUCCGUAAGGACCUCGCGCUGUUGGAGCGGCCGAUGUCGGAUUAGCUAGUUGGUGGGGUAAAGGCCCACCAAGGCGACGAUCCGUAGCUGGUCUGAGAGGAUGAUCAGCCACACUGGAACUGAGACACGGUCCAGACUCCUACGGGAGGCAGCAGUGGGGAAUUUUGGACAA